UACGAAGGGGGCUAGCGUUGCUCGGAAUCACUGGGCGUAAAGCGCACGUAGGCGGAUUGCUAAGUCAGGGGUGAAAUCCUGGAGCUCAACUCCAGAACUGCCUUUGAUACUGGCGAUCUAGAGUCCGGGAGAGGUGAGUGGAACUGCGAGUGUAGAGGUGAAAUUCGUAGAUAUUCGCAAGAACACCAGUGGCGAAGGCGGCUUACUGGGUCUCAACUGACGCUGAGGCACGAAAGCUAGGGUAGCAAACGGG
rnacentral:rRNA from 1 species